GUAUUGAAACAGCUUCAAAAGAAACCAGAACAUCAGGGGCUGAAACUGCACUUUGUCGAAGAUCGACUGGCAACCCUAAAGAAUGUGAUCAAAGAACCUGAAUUGGA